UACGUAGGGUCCGAGCGUUGUCCGGAAUUAUUGGGCGUAAAGGGCUCGUAGGCGGUUUGUCGCGUCGGGAGUGAAAACACGGGGCUUAACCCCGUGCCUGCUUCCGAUACGGGCAGACUAGAGGUAUGCAGGGGAGAACGGAAUUCCUGGUGUAGCGGUGAAAUUCGUAGAUAUUAGGAAGAACACCGGUGGCGAAGGCGGCCCACUGGCUCGAUACUGACGCUGAGGUGCGAAAGCGUGGGGAGCAAACCGG
rnacentral:rRNA from 1 species